rnacentral:rRNA from 1 species
AUGAACGCUGGCGGCGUGCCUAACACAUGCAAGUUGAACGGAGUCCAGCCUUAGAGACCUUCGGGUCAAAGAGGGGAAGACUGAGUGGCGGACGGGUGAGUAACACGUGGGCAACCUGGCUCAUAGAGGGGGAUAACAGAGAGAAAUUUCUGCUAAUACCGCAUAAGCACACACUGCCGCAUGGCAGAGUGUGAAAAGAGAAUCGCUAUGAGAUGGACCCGCGUCUGAUUAGCCAGUUGGCAGGGUAAGAGCCUACCAAAGCGACGAUCAGUAGCCGAUUUGAGAGGAUGAACGGCCACAUUGGGACUGAGACACGGCCCAAACUCCUACGGGAGGCAGCAGUGGGGGAUAUUGCACAAUGGGGGGAACCCUGAUGCAGCGACGCCGCGUGAGUGAAGAAGUAUUUCGGUAUGUAAAGCUCUAUCAGCAGGGAAGAUAAUGACAGUACCUGAAUAAGAAGCCCCGGCUAACUACGUG